ACCAUAAAAGAUUAAGGACAAAAUUGGAAUUACUCAUGUGGAAAUACCAUAAAAGGUUAGGGGUAAAAUUGGAAUUUCACAUGUGGAAAUACCAUAAAAGGUUAGGGAUAAAAUUGGAAUUUCACAUGUGGAAAUACUAUAAAAGGUUAAGGGCAAAGGUGGAAUUUCAACUUGGAAAUAUUAGGAAAGGUGAGGGGCAAAAUGGAAAUUUCACAUGGGAGCCUUAGUCAUAAAAUCCUAGAAUUCUCUACACAAUUUGAGAAAGAAGAAGAGCAAAGGAAAGAAGAGAAAUCAAGAGAGAAAAUCGGACAAGAAGACCAAAAAAUUACCCCUUCAAAUUUCAUCCCAAAAAUUAUAAUUUUCUAGUAUUCCUACUAAGUCAAGGGUGCUCUACAACAUGGUGUAGUUUUUUUGGAAGAUAGGAGGCUUGUUUGGUUGAUUUGAAGCUUUGGUAAAGUGAAGAAGUUGGAAGGAAAAGGUAAGAAUUAAUCCAAUUUCUUUGUGUUAUGAAGUUUGUUUAUGUUGUAGUAAGUAGAGAUGUGUAGAAUCCAUGGAAAUAUGGAAGUUAUAUGGUUGGAUUUGGACAUAUGAAUAAGUUAUGUGUAUGUAAGAUUGUUGGCAAGAAGACUUGAAUUUUUGUGUAGUAUUUUUGGUGUAGUAUUUGAAUAGUAGUAUGAUAAAUAUUUGAUGUUGAAAAUGGAAGUUGGAUGAAAUUAAUUGAAGUUGGAAAUAUGGGUUAGGUGAUGAAAUGGAAAAAAAAAAUAAGUUUGUAUAAUUUGUUAGUUGUUGUUAUGAUUUUUGGGAUAUAAAUGAAGUUUAUAUGGUGUAAGUUGGUAUUAAAAUGGGUUGUAGGAAUUAUGUAAUUUUAGUAUGAUAUUAUAAGAAUAUGGAGGUAAGUUAUUAAAAGUAUGGAUUCUUGUUGUUGAUUAUGAAGUUGAAAGAAGGAAAUGAAUUUGAUUAUGAAGUUGAAAGAAGAAAAUGAAUUAUAAUAGUUUUGUUGCAUUUAUGGAAUUUUUGGGUGAAAUAUGGAAUUGAUGAAUAUUGAAUAGUUUACUUGGAAUAUUUUUCACCUAUGUUGGAAUGAGUUGAAAUUAAUUAUGAACAUGAAAUAUUCAUAUUUAUUUGGAAAUGCAAAGUUUGGUUGAAAGUUGUUGCACUAAUUGGAAAAUUACAUCAAUUUAUGUUAUGGUGUGUUUAAGUUGAUUAUUGAUGGAAUUGGUGUUGAUGUUGGCUUGGUUGUUGAUAUUGUGGCCGAGUUGUAAUCUCGGGGUUGUCAUAUAUAUAGGGGAGAUGCUGCCGAAAUUUUUGUAGACAAGUAUUGGAAAAAUUGAGUUCUUAAAGUCUUAUGAAUAGUAAUUGGUAAAUGUGACCAAUUGUAGAUUUUGGAGGAAACGGAAAUUGAAUUUGGACAACCGUAAAACGUCAAAAAGUUUCUCACUACUCCACUCGUGGAUGCCUCAAUGCUUCUUUCACUGAGCCUGGGCCAGGAUAUGUUUUCGUGCGUAUUUCUCUGCAUUGUUCGCCGUGUCCCGACGUGAGGGGGCAGGUAUGACAUGUACAUGGGGUGGUAAAUGUUAUGCCACGGAGUUAUGCUGUGCCAUGUACAUAUAUGUUUGUGAUAUGAUAUGAUUUGAUAUGGCCAUCUGAUAUGAUAUGAUUUGUUACGGAGAUAUUCCCUACUCUGAUGUUAUGAUGUGCUGUGGCGCCAAUGACAGGAGGGCGACCUCGUUUUGUUCACCGAGUCCCAUAAAAUGGGGCCGGAUACGGCAUAUGUAUUUGCAUAUAUGAUUUGAGAUUAUGAAAAGUAUUUUGAAAUUCUGAAUAUUUAUUUUAUUUUCUGUACAUACUAUUCAGAUUAUGAUUUUAUUUAUUACAAUUCAUACUUUACAUAUUCGGUACAUUUUUCGUACUGACCCCCUUUCUUCGGGGGGGCUGCGUUACAUGCCCGCAGGUACCGAAGUUCGAUUUGCUGAUCCACCUGUUUAGGAUAUUUGCUGCGUCGUUGACAGUGCUCUCUUGUUCGGAGCUUGUAUUUUGGUACUGACUUUAUCUCUGUAUAUUUGGAUAUGUUGGUCAGGGGUACGACGGGGCCUUGUCCCGUCAUAUGACUAUGCUAUCAUCUGUAGAGGUCUGUAGACAGAGUUAUGUUGUGGGUUUUGUAUAUAUGGUUUGGAUUUUUGUGUGUUUUGUGACAACCUUUCAACUCUCGUGCGUAUAUCUACUUUUAUGAUAUAUUUAGCAAUUUCUACUAA